AUAUCAAUAAGCGGAGGAAAAGAAACCAACAGGGAUUGCCUUAGUAACGGCGAGUGAAGCGGCAACAGCUCAAAUUUGAAAUCUGGCCCCUGUGGGGUCCGAGUUGUAAUUUGUAGAGGAUGCUUCGGGCAAGGUUACGGUUUAAGUCCCUUGGAACAGGGUGUCAGAGAGGGUGAGAGUCCCGUCUUUAACCGUAUACCGCGUCCAUGUGAAGCUCCUUCGACGAGUCGGGUUGUUUGGGAAUGCAGCUCAAAAUGGGUGGUAAAUUUCAUCUAAAGCUAAAUACCGGCCAGAGACCGAUAGCGCACAAGUAGAGUGAUCGAAAGAUGAAAAGCACUUUGAAAAGAGAGUUAAACAGCAUGUGAAAUUGUUGAAAGGGAAGCGCUUGCAACCAGACUUGUGGGCAGCAGUUCAGCCGUUAUUCUUAACGGUGCACUCUGCUGUUUCCAGGCCAGCAUCGGUUUAGGUAGUCAGUUAAAGGCCGGGGGAAUGUAUCUGCCCUUCGGGACAGACUUAUAGCCCUUGGUGACAUCUGGCUUACCCGGACUGAGGAACGCGCUUCGGCACGGAUGCUGGCGUAAUGGUUGUAAGCGGCCCGUCUUGAAACACGGACCAAGGAGUCUAACAUCUAUGCGAGUGUUUGGGUGUCAAACCCCUACGCGUAAUGAAAGUGAACGGAGGUAGGAGCCUUUGGGCGCACUAUCGACCGAUCCUGAUGUCUUCGGAUGGAUUUGAGUAAGAGCAUAGCUGUUGGGACCCGAAAGAUGGUGAACUAUGCCUGAAUAGGGUGAAGCCAGAGGAAACUCUGGUGGAGGCUCGCAGCGGUUCUGACGUGCAAAUCGAUCGUCAAAUUUGGGUAUAGGGGCGAAAGGUUAGUUAUUAAAUCCCUACAAAUCAAAUCUUGACAGUAUGCUAACGUAACUUUUUAACAGACUAAUCGAACCAUCAGUUUUUUUGCUACCGGGUGGUUUAACUAUGAGAUGUAACUAUCUCUUCCUAGUCUGUAAAGGCGACGUCCUUAGUUUGUAUGGGGACCGAUUUUCGGAAUCCACAGCAGCGUGUAUCUACCGCUGUUUACAGACUAAAGAGGGGCGGUCGGUUAAAGCUUUAUAGCUUAAGACCGAUAAAAAUAUAGUCGAAAAGAAUUUCAUAUUGGCUACACAAGAUAGUUAUUCUUAACUAUCUUAUAUAACUAUUAUGCUGAAGAAUUCUUAAUGCUGGUAGCUGGUUCCUGCC
rnacentral:rRNA from 1 species